UACGUAGGGUGCAAGCGUUAAUCGGAAUUACUGGGCGUAAAGCGUGCGCAGGCGGUUAUUUAAGUCAGCUGUGAAAUCCCCGGGCUCAACCUGGGAAUGGCAGUUGAGACUGAAUGGCUAGAGUGUGUCAGAGGGGGGUAGAAUUCCACGUGUAGCAGUGAAAUGCGUAGAGAUGUGGAGGAAUACCGAUGGCGAAGGCAGCCCCCUGGGAUAACACUGACGCUCAUGCACGAAAGCGUGGGGAGCAAACAGG
rnacentral:rRNA from 1 species